rnacentral:rRNA from 1 species
GUAAUGCGUAGGAAGCUACCCGACAGAGGGGGAUACCAGUUGGAAACGACUGUUAAUACCGCAUAAUGUCUACGGACCAAAGUGUGGGACCUUCGGGCCACAUGCUGUCGGAUGCGCCUACGUGGGAUUAGCUAGUUGGUGAGGUAAUGGCUCACCAAGGCGACGAUCCCUAGCUGGUUUGAGAGGAUGAUCAGCCACACUGGAACUGAGACACGGUCCAGACUCCUACGGGAGGCAGCAGUGGGGAAUAUUGGACAAUGGGCGCAAGCCUGAUCCAGCCACGCCGCGUGUGUGAAGAAGGCCUUCGGGUUGUAAAGCACUUUCAGCGAGGAGGAAGGGUUGUGUGUUAAUAGCACAUAGCUUUGACGUUACUCGCAGAAGAAGCACCGGCUAACUCUGUGCCAGCAGCCGCGGUAAUACAGAGGGUGCAAGCGUUAAUCGGAAUUACUGGGCGUAAAGCGCACGCAGGCGGUUGGUUAAGUCAGAUGUGAAAGCCCCGGGCUCAACCUGGGAAUUGCAUUUGAAACUGGCCAACUAGAGUACGUGAGAGGGGGGUAGAAUUCCAAGUGUAGCGGUGAAAUGCGUAGAGAUUUGGAGGAAUACCAGUGGCGAAGGCGGCCCCCUGGCACGAUACUGACGCUCAGGUG